rnacentral:tRNA from 1 species
GAAGUCUUAGCUUAAUUAAAGCAUUUGCUUUGCAAGCAAAAUAUGUGGGUUAAUACCCCGCAGAUUUUA